rnacentral:rRNA from 1 species
UACGUAGGGUGCGAGCGUUAAUCGGAAUUACUGGGCGUAAAGCGUGCGCAGGCGGUUCGUUGUGUCGGUGGGGAAAGCCCCGGGCUUAACCUGGGAAUGGCCAUGGAAACUGGCGAACUGGAGUGUGGCAGAGGGGGGUGGAAUUCCGCGUGUAGCAGUGAAAUGCGUAGAGAUGCGGAGGAACACCGAUGGCGAAGGCAGCCCCCUGGGCUAACACUGACGCUCAGGCACGAAAGCGUGGGGAGCAAACAGG